GAUGAACGCUAGCGGCAGGCCUAACACAUGCAAGUCGAGGGGUAACGGGGGUUGCUUGCAACCCGCCGACGACCGGCGCACGGGUGCGUAACGCGUAUGCAAUCUACCUUGUACAGGGGAAUAGCCCAGGGAAACUUGGAUUAAUGCCCCAUGCCAUCACGAUACAGCAUUGUAAUGUGAUGAAAGAUUUAUCGGUACAAGAUGAGCAUGCGUCCCAUUAGCUAGUUGGUAUGGUAACGGCAUACCAAGGCAACGAUGGGUAGGGGCCCUGAGAGGGGGAUCCCCCACACUGGUACUGAGACACGGACCAG
rnacentral:rRNA from 1 species